UCUCCGUUGGUGAACCAGCGGAGGGAUCAUCACAGAGUUUUCUAACUCCUAAACCCAUGUGAACUUACCAUCGUUGCCUCGGCGGGUCGAGCCUAUCCGGUACUUACCCGGUAGGAGCGCCGCCGGUGGACAUCUAAACUCUUGUCAUUACUGUGGCUUCUGAGUAAUUAUCAUAAUAAGUUAAAACUUUCAACAACGGAUCUCUUGGUUCUG
rnacentral:misc_RNA from 1 species